AAUAUUGCACAAUGGGGGAAACCCUGAUGCAGCGACGCCGCGUGAGCGAAGAAUGCCUUCGGGUCGUAAAGCUCUGUCCUAAGGGAAGAAACGGACGGUACCCUAGGAGGAAGCCCCGGCGACCUACGUGCCAGCAGCCGCGGUAAUACGUAGGGGGCUAGCGUUAGCCGGAAUUACUGGGCGUAAAGGGUGCGUAGGCGGCCUUUUAAGUCGAAUGUGAAAGGCUACGGCUUAACCGUAGUUAGCAUUUGAAACUAGAAGGCUUGAGUGCAGGAGAGGAGAGUGGAAUUCCUAGUGUAGCGGUGAAAUGCGUAGAUAUUAGGAGGAACACCAGUGGCGAAGGCGACUCUCUGGACUGCAACUGACGCUGAGGCACGAAAGCGUGGGGAGCAAACAGG
rnacentral:rRNA from 1 species